GACGAACGCUGGCGGCGUGCUUAACACAUGCAAGUCGAACGGAAAGGCCCUGCUUUUGUGGGGUGCUCGAGUGGCGAACGGGUGAGUAACACGUGAGUAACCUGCCCUUGACUUUGGGAUAACUUCAGGAAACUGGGGCUAAUACCGGAUAGGAGCUCCUGCUGCAUGGUGGGGGUUGGAAAGUUUCGGCGGUUGGGGAUGGACUCGCGGCUGAUCAGCUUGUUGGUGGGGUAGUGGCUUACCAAGGCUUUGACCGGUAGCCGGCCUGAGAGGGUGACCGGCGACAAUGGGACUGAGAUACGGACCAGACUCCUACGGGAGGCAGCAGGGGGGAAUAUUGCCCAAUGGGCCGAAGCCUGAUGCAGAAACGCCGCGUGCGGGAUGACGGCCUUCGGGUUGUAAACCGCUUUCGCCUGUGACGAAGCGUGAGUGACGGUAAUGGGUAAAGAAGCACCGGCUAACUACGUG
rnacentral:rRNA from 1 species